CGGACGGGUGAGUAAUGCCUAGGAAUCUGCCUGGUAGUGGGGGACAACGUUUCGAAAGGAACGCUAAUACCGCAUACGUCCUACGGGAGAAAGCAGGGACCUUCGGGCCUUGCGCUAUCAGAUGAGCCUAGGUCGGAUUAGCUAGUUGGUGAGGUAAUGGCUCACCAAGGCGACGAUCCGUAACUGGUCUGAGAGGAUGAUCAGUCACACUGGAACUGAGACACGGUCCAG
rnacentral:rRNA from 1 species